rnacentral:rRNA from 1 species
GAUGAACGCUGGCGGCGUGCCUAAUACAUGCAAGUCGAGCGAACAGACGAGGAGCUUGCUCCUCUGACGUUAGCGGCGGACGGGUGAGUAACACGUGGAUAACCUACCUAUAAGACUGGGAUAACUUCGGGAAACCGGAGCUAAUACCGGAUAAUAUAUUGAACCGCAUGGUUCAAUAGUGAAAGACGGUUUUGCUGUCACUUAUAGAUGGAUCCGCGCCGCAUUAGCUAGUUGGUAAGGUAACGGCUUACCAAGGCGACGAUGCGUAGCCGACCUGAGAGGGUGAUCGGCCACACUGGAACUGAGACACGGUCCAGACUCCUACGGGAGGCAGCAGUCGGGAAUCUUCCGCAAUGGGCGAAAGCUUGACGGAGCAACGCCGCGUGAGUGAUGAAGGUCUUCGGAUCGUAAAACUCUGUUAUUAGGGAAGAACAAAUGUGUAAGUAACUAUGCACGUCUUGACGGUACCUAAUCAGAAAGCCCCGGCUAACUACGUG